ACUCCUGCGGGAGGCAGCAGUGGGGAAUAUCGCACAAUGGGCGCAAGCCUGAUGCAGCCAUGCCGCGUGUAUGAAGAAGGCCUUCGGGUUGUAAAGUACUUUCAGCGGGGAGGAAGGCGAUAAGGUUAAUAACCUUGUCGAUUGACGUUACCCGCAGAAGAAGCACCGGCUCACUCCGUGCCAGCAGCCGCGGUAAUACGGAGGGUGCAAGCGUUAAUCGGAAUUACUGGGCGUAAAGCGCACGCAGGCGGUCUGUCAAGUCGGAUGUGAAAUCCCCGGGCUCAACCUGGGAACUGCAUUCGAAACUGGCAGGCUAGAGUCGUGUAGAGGGGGGUAGAAUUCCAGGUGUAGCGGUGAAAUGCGUAGAGAUCUGGAGGAAUACCGGUGGCGAAGGCGGCCCCCUGGACAAAGACUGACGCUCAGGUGCGAAAGCGUGGGGAGCAAACAGGAUUAGAUACCCCGGUAGUCCCAUG
rnacentral:rRNA from 1 species